GAUUUCUGGUUCGACGUGCCUGGCCCGCCCGCGUCAGCGGUGUGAGUGCCGGAGCGCGUCCGCCAUCCUUCGGGAAUUACGGCCUUGCCCUUCACUGGGUUGAGGUCGCGAUCCCGAUCUUUUACUUUGAAAAAAUUAGAGUGUUUAAAGCAGGCUUACGCUGUGAAUACAUUAGCAUGGAAUAAUAAUUUAGGACUUUUGUUCGAUUGUUGGUUUGCGGAUAAAAGUAAUGAUUGAUAGGGAUAGUUGGGGGUGCUAGUAUUCAGCGACCAGAGGUGAAAUUCUUGGAUUCGCUGAAGACUAACUUAUGCGAAAGCAUU
rnacentral:rRNA from 1 species